rnacentral:ncRNA from 1 species
GAUCAGGUAAUGGUUCCCCGAAUUCGGGGAUAAAAGGGAAUCCGGUUCUGCCUGUUUGGCUAUUCCGGAGCUGCCCCCGCAACUGUAUUCGGUAGUGAUACAUCCAUAAACCACUGGGAAACCGGGAAGGAAGAUGUAUUGCGUUAAUCCGAAAGCCAGGAGACCUGCCAUUGCAUG